rnacentral:piRNA from 1 species
UACUCCAGUGAUGAUACGCUUUCUAAAUCUU